rnacentral:rRNA from 1 species
UACGUAGGGUGCGAGCGUUGUCCGGAAUUAUUGGGCGUAAAGAGCUCGUAGGCGGUGUGUCACGUCGGCCGUGAAAACCUGCAGCUUAACUGUGGGCGUGCGGUCGAUACGGGCAUCACUGGAGUUCGGCAGGGGAGACUGGAAUUCCUGGUGUAGCGGUGAAAUGCGCAGACGUAUACAGGAGGAACACCGGUGGCGAAGGCGGGUCUCUGGGCCGAUACUGACGCUGGAG